CUCCGGUCCUGCUGCCACCACGGUCUUGGGGGCCCCCCGAAACCCACAAGGCCCCCGCCACAACCACAGGCCAGCUGAGUGGCGGUCCGCAGCAGAUCUCCGCUGCCGCCCUUCAUCCCGGGGUCCCCAUUCUACGGAGACACUCCGAAGUAACCUUCACUCCCCCCACUGCUGGAAGUCAUGCUCCACGAGACAUUCGUAACAAGGACACCAUAGAACAAAACCCAGGUUCCCUCCCUCAUAGCAAGGAUGCCACAAAACAUUCGGGUUCUGAUACAAGAACGUCUCGAGGCACCCUACGGUCUCCACACACCCCUGUCUCCAUAUGAUAGGGGGAACACAACGCGCAUCCCAGGUUACAUAAAGGACACCACAGAACACUCACGCCAGG
rnacentral:lncRNA from 1 species